GGACCUCCAAUCAGUCAAGAUUACCCGCUGAA
rnacentral:rRNA from 2 species